CAGUCGGAUCACGGCCGCCUUGGUGUUGUCGCCAAAGCCCAGCCCAUCACAGAAGCCAGCCCCCACGGCCACUAUAUUCUUUGAAGAGUGAAGUCACGGGUCUGUCCAGGAUCCAGAGUUCUGGCCAUCAAUCCGUCUGGGUGUCCUGGACAUCUUAUCUCCCAUUAGCCUGAGUGCUCCCCCAGGGCAUCUCCUCUUCCCCCUGGACCAACCUUUGGAGCCAGGGACAGGGAUGUCCCGCAAGGGGCUAUAGGGGGAAGGAAGAAGGAAGCCCAAUGUCUGAUGGUGGCCCUUGAGCUGAUCACAGAUCUUGCCGAUGAACUGAUGGGGUACCACGAAGAUCAGGAUGUCAGCAUCCGCUGCAGCC